AUUAAUAUAGUUUAAAAAAAACAUUAUAUUUUCAAUAUAAAAAUAAUUAAAUUUAAUUUAUAAAUA
rnacentral:tRNA from 1 species